UCAAAAGAAGUUGUGUGUGUGUAAUACAUGUGCUGGGAAGUUAGACUCAAACAUAUAGAAAAGAGAAAGAGAGAACCAAAGAGAGAGAGAGAGCUUCAUUGUUUUUGCAUGCAAUGUAAUUAAUCUGCUGGUGCAAAACCGUGAGAAAGAGAGAGACAACCGUGGGUGAGAAAGAGAGAACCGUGAAUAAGGGAGAGUUCAACUCCUUAAAUCUUUGCUGGAAAUUUGAAGGAAAACCAAGGGAAAAGUGAAGAAAAGGAAGGAGAAACUCAAGUUUGGCUUGGAUUUGUCAAAAUUAUGCAAGAUUAAAUGUCUAUGAAGACUCUAGGUCACGCGCCAUUGUCUGCCUGAUUUAUCUGAUAUGUCCAGUCUGUCUGAUUUGCUUAUGCAGCCAUCUGUGAUCAGGCGCGUGACCAGGCUUAGAAGUUUCUGCCUAGAACUAGUUUUGU